GGCCCNGCCCCGCUCUGCCGGCAGGGCCGGGCCUCGGCGCCGCUCCGCCCUCCCGCGGGGAAGGGGCCGCGGUGUUAAGGCAGCGUGGAUGCGCGGAUGGAGGGAUGGAUGCAUUGGAUGGAGGGAUGGAUGCAUUGGAGGCAUCGGCGGGUCGCUUCCCGGCGUUGCGCUGUCCCUGCGCCGUGCCGGAGCGCGCACGGAUUAGCUGGAAUGAAACGCAAGUAGGUCAGGAAAGCUGGAUGGCUUUCCAGCGUCAUCCCUCUCUGCGGCCCACCCUCGGGCGUUCGCAGUUUACGCAUUCACGGAUGAAAACUCCGCUGCACUUGGACGGCACACCAUUUUUCUUUUUUUUUUUCCUUAAAUGAGAAAAGCUGUUCUUAGCAUGUUUUGCUGCAUAAAGAAGGCAGCGCCUGUUCUCAUCCAGCCGCCUCCUCUCCACCCUUCCCCAGCCUUAAAUCAUUACGGUCCAUUUCAGUCAAGAGAUUUUGACACGUUUUCCUCCGUCCCUUUGGAUUCUGUAAAUUCCCAGCUAAGCAGAUGAAGAAGACCCCAAAACUUGUACCCAAAGCGGGGAGAGGCUGAAAGCAAAUCCCACCAGCAGCCUUGUCGAGCGCCGGGGGCGGCUCCUGUCUCCCGGCCCUGUUGGCACAGGAGGAGUUACCCGAGCGAGCUGACCUGAGGGAACAGCCACAGGCUGCUCCCAGGGGCUGGCAGCCCAGCUUUCCCUCAGCGCCCUGCUCCGUGGCACUCGCUAGUGUGUACACAGUACCAGCACUCCGGACUCUGCAUCCAGCUGCAAACUCGAAGGAAGCCUUUGGUGGCGGAAUGUUGACACAGCGAGUGGAACUGACUCAACGCUUGUGCUGGUGCUUGCUGGGCUGUGACAGCUGUUCCCCGAGCACUCCGUGUCUCCAAUAAAGGCAUGCGUGCUCGUAAAAACAGCACAUCAUAAACUCAGAAAACAAGAAGUUUCCUCCAGCAGCAGCGUCAUUAAUGCAGUGACAACAACUCUAGGUGGACACGAGAAGCAUGAACUGUUCUGCAAAGAUUCACAUUUCAUCAAAAUCAAUUAACGUGUAAGAAUCCUGUCUUAGAAGAGACAAAAGCCAUGGCAAGGGAGUUCCCCAGCUCUGCUCCCUCUCCUGGGAGGGACAAGGAAAGCAGAAGGUGAGGAAUGUGUAUCCACAGGGGCUGCUAUUCUCCUCUGAGGCUCAGUGAAAAAGCAGAAGCUGCUGCAUCUCCUGAAUGGCAGAGGACAUCUCCUCCUGUCUUGGGAGUGGCUGGUGAGCCUUGAAGCACAGAACUC